GAUGAACGCUGGCGGCGUGCUUAACACAUGCAAGUCGAACGAAGCACUUUAUUUGAUUUCCUUCGGGACUGAUUAUUUUGUGACUGAGUGGCGGACGGGUGAGUAACGCGUGGGUAACCUGCCUUGUACAGGGGGAUAACAGUUGGAAACGGCUGCUAAUACCGCAUAAGCGCACGGCAUCGCAUGAUGCAGUGUGAAAAACUCCGGUGGUAUAAGAUGGACCCGCGUUGGAUUAGCUAGUUGGUGAGGUAACGGCCCACCAAGGCGACGAUCCAUAGCCGACCUGAGAGGGUGACCGGCCACAUUGGGACUGAGACACGGCCCAAACUCCUACGGGAGGCAGCAGUGGGGAAUAGUGCACAAUGGGCGAAAGCCUGAUGCAGCGACGCCGCGUGAGCGAAGAAGUAUUUCGGUAUGUAAAGCUCUAUCAGCAGGGAAGAUAAUGACGGUACCUGACUAAGAAGCACCGGCUAAAUACGUG
rnacentral:rRNA from 1 species